rnacentral:rRNA from 1 species
CAGCACCUCAAGUGGUCAGGAUGAUUAUUGGGCCUAAAGCAUCCGUAGCCGGCUCUGUAAGCUUUCGGUUAAAUCUGUACGCUCAACGUACAGGCUGCCGGGAAUACUGCAGAGCUAGGGAGUGGGAGAGGUAGACGGUACUCGGUAGGAAGGGGUAAAAUCCUUUGAUCUAUUGAUGACCACCUGUGGCGAAGGCGGUCUACCAGAACACGUCCGACGGUGAGGGAUGAAAGCUGGGGGAGCAAACCGGAUUAGAUACCCGAGUAGUCC